CAGGAAAUAGUUUAAUGAAAAUAUAAGUUUUGGAGAUUUAAGAUAAUUUUGUUUUUCCUGA
rnacentral:tRNA from 1 species